GUAUCCUUAGCUCAAUGGGCGAGCAGCCGCUAUGCGGAAGAUGUGGGUUCAAUCCCUGCAGGAUACG
rnacentral:tRNA from 1 species